GACGAACGCUGGCGACAGGCCUAACACAUGCAAGUCGAGCGAGCGGCGGACGGGUGAGUAAUGUAUGGGGACUGCCCGAUAGAGGGGGAUAACUACUGGAAACGGUGGCUAAUACCGCAUACUGUCGGAUAGCCCAUAUGAGAGUAGCUAGUAGGUGUGGUAAAGGCUCACCUAGGCGACGAUCUCUAGCUGGACUGAGAGGUUGAUUAGCUAAACGGGAACGGGGACACGGCCCAGACGCCAACGGAGGCGGCAGUGGGGACUAUUGUAUAAUGGGCGGGAGCCGGAUGCAGCCUAGCCGCGUGUAUGAAGAAGGCCUUAGGGUUGUAAAGUACUUCCAGCGGGGAGGCGUAUCCCGCAGAAGCAGCACCGGCUAACUCCGUGCCAGCAGCCGCGGUAAUAC
rnacentral:rRNA from 1 species